GCUCUCCCUGCUCGGCAUGGUUACACCUGCCACAACAUGUGUGACUUUCGUAAAGAGGAGAGAGAGAAACGGUGCUCUCAGGACCUCGGACAGGCCUCCUGUGUCCUGUCCUGUCCCUUCUGGGGGCGGAUCGUC